CAAGUCGAACGGGACAUGUUUUGUAGCAAUACGGAGCAUGUUUUAGUGGCGCAAGGGUGAGUAACACGUGAGUCAUCUGCCGGGAAGUGGGGGAUAGCUCGCCGAAAGGCGAAUUAAUACCGCAUGUGGCCGCAAGGCUAAAGUCGCAAGACGCUUUCCGAUGAGCUCGCGGCCUAUCAGCUAGUUGGCGGGGUAACGGCCCACCAAGGCGGUGACGGGUAGCUGGUCUGAGAGGACGACCAGCCACACUGGAACUGAGACACGGUCCAGACACCUACGGGUGGCAGCAGUCGAGAAUUUUUCUCAAUGGGGGAAACCCUGAAGGAGCGACGCCGCGUGGAGGAUGAAGGUCUUCGGAUUGUAAACUCCUGUCAUUUGGGAACAAAGCCCGCAAGGGUGUGAUAGUACCAGAAGAGGAAGAGACGGCUAACUCUGUGCCAGCAGCCGCGGUAAUACAGAGGUCUCUAGCGUUGUUCGGAUUCAUUGGGCGUAAAGGGUGCGUAGGCGGCAUGGUAAGUCGGAUGUGAAAUCUUGGGGCUCAACCCCAAAACUGCAUUCGAUACUGCCGUGCUUGAAGACUGAAGAGGAGAUUGGAAUUCACGGUGUAGCAGUGAAAUGCGUAGAUAUCGUGAGGAAGACCAGUGGCGAAAGCGAAUCUCUGGACAGUUCUUGACGCUGAUGCACGAAGGCCAGGGGAGCAAACGGGAUUAGAUACCCCGGUAGUCCUGGCAGUAACGGUGCACGUUUGGUGAGGGGGGGA
rnacentral:rRNA from 1 species